AGCACGUGUAGUGCGCUGGUACCAUUUAGGCGUCAGAACUUUCAUCUAUGAAGACCCACUUGCUAAUGGCCACCAUGCACAGAAAAGACCAUGAUGUGGAGGACAUAUGUGCUUAGUUAUUAAAGUCGGGACAGAAGAUCAUGCCUUGGUCAAAUCAAAGGAGUUCCCUCAGUCUUUCAGAGAGAUGGCAGAAAGUUCAUUCAACAUGAAGAUGAUGUGCACAUAAUGUAAUCUGGAAUCUAAAGUUAGAGAUAAAAACCUGCAAACUUACUAGCAAAUAAGCCUUUCGGCUUGUUAAUUAUUCUUUGCCGGACACUUCACCUUUAGGAAUGCUCUUUAUUUCUAUCAAUGAUGCAUGUGGUUAUUCAAGAUCAUGUCAUGUGAUAUAAGGAAUUUUGACUUUUGACAGCAUAAGACAAGGGUUUGUGAGAAGAGUAGCAAAUACUUAAGAAAUCCUUGGAUACUGGAAUUCAGUCAAUGUAUGCCAAAUAAACUGGAUGAGUGAAAGAUUGUAUUUGAAGUUCUGUGCUUGUCCAUCUUUGCUGUUUUUUCAUAUGCUUAGAAAAUGACAAAAGUUGUUUUAACAAGUGACCCAGUAAAGACAUGAAAAUGUAAAAUAAUUCUUGUAAGAAAAGAAAAAUUGUAAAUGUUUUCUUAUACAAUGUAUUCUAGAUGACAAAGAAUGUGUUUGACUAAGUUUUUGAAAAUGACAAAAUAAAUUCUCUUUUGUGUAAUUAAAAAAUGAUAAUGGUU